CCAAGGUUGCCUACCCCUGAUAUAGGGUCUCCUGUUUAAGCAGGGAUUUGGAAUAGAUAAUCUCCAAGGUCUUUCCAACUCCUAUUAUUCUGUAUUUCAACUAUGGAUACAAAUACACAUUAUGAAAAAAAAAAGCUGGAUUGUCCUGAUCACUAGCCAAGAUGAGGCUAUUACUUCAAAUAUCAGUUGCUAUGUACUGUGGGAGACGCCAUGCUAAUAUAUACCACCCUGUUCUUUUGAAAUAUGUAAUGGACAUUGUCCAUUACCAAUCUAAAGAAAAACUUGUCAGUGCAGUGGCUUUUGCAUAUUAAAUAAAUAGCGAGCCAUCUUAUUAUUUUCAACAGGAAUUAAAAAAACAAUUUAAAGGAAAAUUGUAUUUAUAAUAAGGGACACAUGUAGAUAUUUAACUCUUCUAUCUUUUUGAACUUUAAUUAAUUUAACUGAACACCCCCAUAGGAAAGUAAUUGAAUAAUUUUAGAUUUCUUGAGAAAUAGAUAUUAAAAUGCAAACUAUGAUAUAAUUUUCAAGUAUACGAUAAACCCCAUGGACAUAUAGCAUCUCCUGGCUUAUCUCUGUAAAACAGGAGCCAGAUUAUUUUGCUCAGAUAUAUGCAACAAGUAACUGAGUUUCAUCACAAUGGAAAGCCUGACAUCAUUGGUCAUUGUUACACCUCGAAGCUGAGCUGUUAAAUGAUCGGAGAUGCCACUGCAACUCACAAAAUCUAAAAGGCCCAUCUAAGACAGGUGGAGCUCCAGCUGCUAAGAUCUUGUAAAAACAACAAGACCAUCAGAAAUGGCCAGCUUCAGACACAGCAGGAGCUGGAGCUUAACUCGCAUCCAUCGCAGGCGUCGACGGAGGAAAGGGCGUGGGGGUAAAUCUGGAAGGAGGCGUGGAAGACGACAUGGCAGAAGGAGAGGUCAUAAAUCUUCAGGUGGCAGAAGAAGGAGAAGAAGGAGAAAGCACUAGGUUUUCUGUCUUCAUAGCGGUCUUCAUGGUGCUUCAGUUUCUGCCAAACAGAAAAGGAAAAAAAAAAAAAUCAAACCUCCUUUUUCUUUCCCUGAAACACGCUGCAAGAAUUCCCAAGGACCAGGUAGCCUGAAACAAUUUGGAACAUACCUCCUGUCAAUAAAGGCUAACAUUUCA